GCAUUCACAUGGAUGUAAGCAGUGGUUACAUCUGCAGGGAUACUUGUCAAGGCAUUGCUUUGUCUGUGUCAAUCUGUUUUGCCCUUCACAUUCAUUGUGGCACUCUCUCUGUGUGUAUGUGCGUGUCUGGCUCUUUGGAAUGCAGCUGCACGCACAUGGGAAGUUCUAUUUAGGUUAGCAUAGGAGCAGCCCUCCAGGUGCCCACCUCAUUCAGAUCAACCAGACUUGAAAGGAGAAAUCCCACAGUGUUCAGAAGCCUGCUGGCUCUGGCUGCUCCGUAACAGAGUGGGCAAGGAAACCCAAAGCAACUCUGCAGCAGAGAUCACCGGGUGGGCAAGGAGGCAGCACUGGCUCUGUCAUAUAAACUCCCAAAUUAGGGCCCUCUGAGUGAGUGCUAAACUCUCAUUUUGUGUUUAACUGCAUGUGUAAGACUUGUGUGCACAAAGGUGAGGUCAAGCUGACCCCUUGUAAAGUUGUCAAAAUUGAUGACUGAAGAGAUUCCUAAUUAAGGGAUUCAGCCUUGUGAAGGACGGGAGAGAAAGAAGAGAUGGUGAAAAGCGUGGCUCACGUCACUAGUGACAUCGCAAUGGCACCACGAAGCCCCGCUGGCUGUGGGCAUACUCCCUGGAUACCGGCCGGCCCCAGCCCCCAGCGGGAGGUUGGCCAUCCCACAGCAGCACUGGCCCCGCAUCACCACCACCAUGUGCCAGCGGGUCUGCUGGGCACUGCCCCCAUGCAGGAGACAGAACAGGAGCCCCCGGACCAGCUGCCAGCGCUGAUGGUGCAGUGGCACAGGGGCAGAGGUGCUUCUGGCGUUGACAGUGGCGUUGGUAAUGGCACUGGUGCCGGCUGGCCCCAUGGCCGAGGGCUGGGAGCAGUGAUGGCUGCAGCCGCUCAGCGCUGGUGAGGUGGAGAUGUGCUGACACGCAGAGAUGGGCUGAAGCGAUUGCCAUCCUUUGGCCCAAAGGCACUUGCAUGCUUCCACUCAAUUGCCUGCCUGUGUGUGUGUGUGUGUUCUACCCGUUCUUUAAAAAAUUGGCCAGAAAGAAAGGAAAGCAUUUAUGCACGCUCAACACAAAGUAAAGUUUGGCCUUGUGGCCCCUCUUGAGGCCAACCAACCGGCAGACAUCCCCUAAGGAUUCUCACAGGAGUCAAAGGCUUCACCAUCCCCUCUCUGGAGGAAGAGGAAGUGCAUGUUGCUGAAGCGACCACAGAGCAUCUGCUCUGCUGUUCAGUGGAUGAGCAGGGAGCAGAUGCCUGAACACCGGCACCCCAGCAUGCCGCUGCAGUGCGGCGGACGGCACACUCUCACUACCCUGCUGCAGCACUGGCCCAGCCUCCAGCCUCAACCACCCAGCACCCCGCGGCUGCACCAGCCCCACACCCAGCUGCCCAUCCAGGUAGGGAUGACAAAGGUAGGGACAUGGUGGGGGUGAUCAAGGCGGGGAGGGAGAUGCUGAGCAUUGGGAGGUAGGCGAGUCUCAGUUUCUGCAGGGAGAGCUGGGUGUGGGAGGGUUGCCUGGGGAUGCUGAAUUCAGCCCCAUGUGUCAGCCAGGCUGCUCUCUCCCUCCCAGCACAAUGACGAGGUGGAGCUGUUGGGCCAGGACGGCUGCACCUACAGGGGCCGACGGGACAGGCAGCUUCCUCUGCUCGUGGGCAAGGAGGGUACGGCCAGGGUACACUUGGGGAUGGGAUCCAGCAACAGCCAAGGGGACGUCAUUGUGGGCAGGGCACCUCUGGGGUGCCAGUGUUCCCCCUGGCUCCCCCCAGCCUAUCUCCCGCUGCAGUUUCCUGCCAGGAUCCCUGAUGGAUAAGGCCAAGAUCAGCAGAGGGACGUGCUGGACACCGGCUGCCUGCUCUCGCAGCCCUGCAGGGCGGGACCUCGUGCAGCCAGCUGGGUAUGGCCCUGUCAGGGCACUGCGGAGGAGAGGGCACCCUUCUGUAAGCCGGUACUGCCAGGCCAGCCUCAUGCCAUGGGCAGCUCUGCCAGGCACCACCAGGACUCCUCGUCCAGCCCCUUCGGAGUGACUCCAGCACCACGGCAGCUGAGCGGGACUGGGGGUCCCUUGCCAAACCCCCACCACGCCGGCCACCGAGCAGGAAGUUAGGCAGCUCCAGCCGUCAGCAAUAAAGGAUGACGGGCAGCCAAGCGCCUGUGUGGCCUGAGUGGGGUGGCUCUGCGUCGGGAACUUCUCAUCAUGCAUAAGGGCGGCUGGCAGCACGCCUCGUUCUGCAGCCAUGUGUCACCAGAGGAGCUGCUGGAAAUGGCCCCUGUGCAAUCCCCUCCUGCUGCCUAAACUCCUGAAUUUCCAAACUGAUCUCAUUAACAGGGAUAUGCUGGCGGUUUGGGUCAGGCUGGGCCACCCUCUCAUGUGGUUAGUUCUCAAGUGCCCACCAUCUCAAGUCAUCAGAACUGAUGACUGAAAGGACUUCUCACCAAGGGAGUCAAUCUGGGGAAGGAACAAAUAACAAUAAGAAUACCAUUACAUAAACGACGCAGAAAGAAGUCUCCAAGUGAAAAUGUUCUGGCUGCAAGAGGAGAC